GUCAAGAGUGAGUCAGCAUUAUGAACACCAUUCACCUCUUCCAUUCUAGCAUGAAAUAGGGGUGUCACGUUGAGGUCGCAUUUUAAUGCGGGAUUGUUCCUCCAGUGCAAACAUGGACACUCCGGACAACAACGUAAAGACCACAGCAAAUCCAUUAGAAGAAGACAGCCUGCCGUUUCCUUAAACUUGGAGACACAUAUCUAUACCUUUGGCCAUUUUAAGCCAGUCAUUUCCAGAAGUUAUCUCAUCCUGUGAGAAGCCUCCAUUUUACUGAUGUUU